GCCUUGGUGGCAUGCGCCUGUAAUUCCAGCUCCCCUGGAAGCUGAGGCCGUCAGAUUGUAGGUGCCUGGGGGGUUUGGAACUACUGCUCCUUGUACAGCGGGUGUCUGCACUGGGUCUGCCACAGGCAUGGGCUCUCAGGAAAGCCCGGGGGUACUAGGUUGUAUAAGGAGACGGGGACCCGGCCGAGGCUGGACACAGAGCAGGUCAAACUCCCUGUGCUGGGCGUCGGUGGGCCCGCACCUAUGAGCAAUGCCUGAAGUUCGCGCAGGUAUCCCACGAGUCCCAUCUCUU
rnacentral:SRP_RNA from 1 species